UACGGAGGGUGCAAGCGUUAAUCGGAAUUACUGGGCGUAAAGCGCACGCAGGUGGCUGAGUAAGUCGAUUGUGAAGCCCUGGGCGUUAACCUGGGAAUUGCAGUCGAUACUGCUCGGCUAGAGUAUGGGAGAGGGUAGUGAAAUUCCCGGUGUAGCGGUGAAAUGCGUAGAUAUCGGGAGGAACAUCAGUGGCGAAGGCGGCUACCUGGCCCAAUACUGACACUCAGGUGCGACAGCGUGGGGAGCAAACAGG
rnacentral:rRNA from 1 species